rnacentral:rRNA from 1 species
GACGAACGCUGGCGGCGUGCUUAACACAUGCAAGUCGAACGAAGUGGCGAACGGGUGAGUAACGCGUAAUCAACCUGCCCUUCAGAGGGGGACAACAGUUGGAAACGACUGCUAAUACCGCUUACUGAAGGAGGGGAUUGCGUCUGAUUAGCUAGUUGGAGGGGUAACGGCCCACCAAGGCGAUGAUCAGUAGGCGGUCUGGGGGGAUGGACGGCCACAAUGGGGCUGGGAAAAGGGCCAGAAUCCCACGGGAGGCAGGAGUGGGGAAAUUUUCGAAAUGGACGGAAGUCUGACUGAGCAAAGGCGGGGGAGGUGAAGAAGGCUUCGGGUUGUAAAGCUCUUUUAAGCGGGACGCGGUACCGAAAUAGAAAGCCACGGCUAACUACGUGCCAGCAGCCGCGGUAAUUC